rfam:Brachypodium distachyon strain Bd21 chromosome 1, whole genome shotgun sequence.
UUAGUACUCCCUCCGCCCAACAAAGGAUGUCUCAACUUUGACCAAAUUCGAAUGCAUCUAUACACUAAGUCAUGUCUAGAUACAUCCAAAUUUUGACAAACUUGAGACAUCUUUUGUUGGACGGAGGAAGAACAUU